rnacentral:lncRNA from 1 species
CUGAAGGCAGCAAGACGCAAUUCAGCGGAAGAGAUAUAAGCAAUGCUAGGUGACUUGCAGGAACGAGACGUUUUGUAAAACCAAACGGAGCAGAGAGGAGCGGAUGUCCACGACUGAAACAGCCAUGACAAGGCAAUCUCUUGGCAAAAAGGAAUGAGCAACUCCCAGUGCUUUUGGAUCCAGUUUGCAGUUGCUGAAUAUUUCACAGGAAGAAAUUUUUAGGAUGGAUAAUGCCUUUGACUUGGGCUGAAAUUGCAUCAGUGCCUAUGGCAUUUCAGAACCAGCAAAGACCAGGCUGCUACAGAGCAAGCCACGUAUACUGCAGUUGCUUCUACGGACUUUGAAACAAAGAGGCUAUCUGGAUUGUGAUCUACAAUUGAAAGAUCUGAUCUGUUAUUUCAGUAAGUUUCUACUGAGAGUCUUCGAUGUGUCCACUGUUCACUCUACAAUGACGAAACUUUCCCAGGAAGUUUCUCCAGUACCAAGAACCACGCGUAUUAACUCAGGCAUUCCUUUUUUUUAUUCCUGAUGAUACUUGUUUCCUAUAUCUAUUUAUUGAUUGGACAAACUAACAAGUAAGUUUGGAGAAGCUGUGAAUUGCCUGCUCUGAAUGAGAAAUUCGAGUCAUGAUGAUUGCACAAGUCCUUCCUUUUGCAGAAAUCUGCAGUUGCUGCCUCCGUUGCCGGGCAAAGUUCUCUCCCGUUUUUCUAUAUAAGGUAUGGAUUCAAGCAAUUCUCCAAUUUUGCUAGUUUCUUU